rnacentral:lncRNA from 1 species
GUUAUUAAUAGUCAUUCAGUUAAAAGCUAGUUAUUUCCCAUUGUUUUGCCAAAUACUUUCUCUUUGGUUACCUAAAAUAAACCAGCUUUUUUCCCUUAAGCCAUAUUUAUCAUAUUUUGAAAUAUAGUAUCUAACUCAGUGGUUUCAGAAUCUGAUAGACCUAAAGAAUCUUCUGUCACAUAACAUAAAAUCCACAGUUUUCUUUAUACUUUCAGUCCUAUAACCAUGAACUGUCUUUGAAUUUCAUCUAAAAUACAGUGUUUUCCAGUCCCAAUUUGAAACUUUUGCCAGUAGCUUUUGUAAUGUCAGGCCUUUGCAGGUUUAAUUUCACUGUACUUUAGGCAAUUUAGUGUUGAUUUCCUGUUGAUUAGCACAUGGAAUAUUUUGUGAUCUCCAUUUAAAUCACUUACUCUUCGUAAAGCCCUGCUGUUUCAGAGAUUAGAAACAGAAGGCCUGCAGCUGAAGGACCACCCUGCAUCUCCUGAUUUGCUUUUUUUGCACAGAAGUAAAAAUGACCAACCUGUCAGUAAGAGCAACUG